rnacentral:sRNA from 1 species
CACCGCCUGGGGAGUACGACCGCAAGGUUAAAACUCAAAUGAAUUGACGGGGACCCGCACAAGUAGUGGAGCAUGUGGUUUAAUUCGAAGAUACGCGCAGAACCUUACCAACACUUGACAUGUUUGUCGCGACUCUAAGAAAUUGGAGUCUUCGGUUCGGCCGGACAAAACACAGGUGCUGCAUGGCUGUCGUCAGCUCGUGUCGUGAGAUGUUGGGUUAAGUCCCGCAACGAGCGCAACCCUCACUUUUAGUUGCCAUCAUUAAGUUGGGCACUCUAGAAGAACUGCCAGUGAUAAGCUGGAGGAAGGUGGGGAUGACGUCAAGUCCUCAUGGCCCUUACGUGUUGGGCUACACACGUGCUACAAUGGCACUUACAAUAGGAAGCAAAGAGGCAACUCUAAGCAAAGCCUGAAAAUGUGCCUCAGUUCGGAUUGUACUCUGCAACUCGAGUACAUGAAGCUGGAAUUACUAGUAAUCGCGGAUCAGCGCGCCGCGGUGAAUACGUUCCCGGGUCUUGUACACACCGCCCGUCACACCAUGGAAGUUGGUUUCACCUUAAGGCAGAUUGUUAACCUUCGGGAUACAUUUGACUACGGUAUGAUCAACAACUGGGGUGAAGUCGUAACAAGGUAGCCGUAGGGGAACCUGCGGCUGGAUCACCUCCUUUCUAAGGAAAUCGAAAUGGUUUAUUUCGAUUUAAAAUAAUCGGUAAUGUGACCGUCCUCAUUUCUCUUCUUUUCUUUUAAUGUCUCUGUAGAUGCAUAGGGGCCGGUAGCUCAGGUGGUUAGAGCGCACCCCUGAUAAGGGUGAGGUCGGACGUUCGAGUCGUCCUCGGCCCACCAUUUUAUACAAGGGGGAUUAGCCCAGCUGGGAGAGCGCCUGAUUUGCAUUCAGGAGGUCAGCGGUUCGAUCCCGCUAUCCUCCACCAAAACUUUGACAUUUAGUUCUUUUAAAUCGUGAAUUAUUAUCAAUAUCUAUAUCCGAUUAUUUUUUGAAAAUUUUUUUGAAAAGUAAUUGAUUAUAAAAAUUUAAUUUACACAGAAUUUUUUUCUG